ACUUGCACAACUCCUACUAGAGAACAAUCAACUGACAUAUAAAUAAGACUUCAUCAGAUAUUAUUUCAUAGGUCUAUUCAGUAAACUCAUUCUCUAAUGAGCAUCCACAUUCUUGUAUUAAUGUCGCCACACAAGUAGUUGUAAGAUCAACCAUCCUCACCACUGAGCAUACAUAGGAUGUGCCAGUCUUAUUGGUAUCAUUGAUCUCUAACUCAAUG
rnacentral:lncRNA from 1 species